UACAGAGGGUGCGAGCGUUAAUCGGAAUUACUGGGCGUAAAGCGUGCGUAGACGGCUAUCUAAGUCGGGUGUGAAAGCCCCGGGCUCAACCUGGGAAUUGCAUUCGAGACUGAAUAGCUAGGGUACGGUAGAGGGAAGCGGAAUUUCCGGUGUAGCGGUGAAAUGCGUAGAUAUCGGAAGGAACAUCAGUGGCGAAAGCGGCUUCCUGGACCAGUACCGACGUCAGGCACGAAAGCGUGGGGAGC
rnacentral:rRNA from 1 species